UGAUUUGGUUAUUGCUGCUAAAGGAAAGAGACCACAAGCCGCACCAACACAAGAACAACCAGUGGUAUAUAUGCAUCAGUUAACAACAAAUCUGUUCCUCCUCCCAUUCCUCCUCCAGCUGCUCCUCAUAAAGUAUUGUAUGCUGAUCUAUCAAUAGCAGCUGGUAAGAGAACACCAAAGAAUAAACCACCCACUGAGGAAAGAGUAGUCCAUGCAGCAGUCAAUGGCAAUAGGAAGUCCACUACUCAAGAGCUGAUCAUGACUAGGUUAGGUGGUCUGGAUAUUCCUCCUCCAAUACCACCAAAACCAAAACCUUGAAACCAACUCAAAGACAUCAAUACUCCCCUUCUCCAGUAGUAUAGGAUGGACAUACUUUAGUAUAAUGUAUUGUGAAACAAUUAACUCUAUCUUGUAUUCUCUCUCUCUGUCUUUCAUUAUAAUGUCAUGGGUAUAUAGUGUAUAUUCUUUUGUAAUUUUUUAGUUCAUUCUAAUCAACAGAACCAACAAUGUAUAAAGUA